GGGGAGGAGGCGAUGGGCGCACACCGAGCGGACUUGGCGGUGCCCAGAAGAGCCCGAGUCGGGUGCACGGUGGCGAGAGGGGCCGAUUCCCCUGCUGGCGACCGGGCAGCCAGCCGACUGCCUCUAAAGGCGCGGGACUCGAGGUGGGAUUUAGAGAGAAGGAAGAGGGAGGAGCGCGGUGAGAGCGUGGGGACUAGUGAGGCCGGAGCCCGGGCCGGCGCAUCCCGGCUUCGGAGCCGCAUAGCUGGUACCGAGAUCUGGCCCCCGCCCUUCUCUCCUCUUGCCGCGGAUUUUCCUCCCUGAUGCAGAGGCUGCCGCUCGCGGUCCAGAGCCCGGGAAGGUUGGGUAGUGGGAGCCAGUGCGGGAGUCGGCACCGAGGCAGCCUGGGUCGUGUGCUUUGGGGUUUGGGGAUUAGGUUUGAAGUUAUGCCCUCCCUCUUAUAGGGAAAUGAGGCGACGGAGACUUAUUUUGAUGAAUGGCAGAGAGCUGAUCUUGGAGGCUAAAUGCUGUACACAAGAUUUAAGAGGGAUUUCCAAAAAUCUGUUUUUUCUGCCUUAUUUAUUCCUCACUGGUUGGGACCCUCUCUUUUGCAACUUCUGGUGGAAUGUUAAGAGGAAGAGGCAAAGCGUGCCUGUAGGUCAGUUUAUUCUUCCAGCUCCCGUUUCUCCAGGAGGAGGCCAGCCUUUUGUAGUGAAAGGUGAGAGAGAACUGCCUUGCCAUUCCUUCAGCCACCUGAGGGCUGCUGCGUCUCAUGGUUUCAGCCCAUCUGCAAACCCUGCGCUGCGCUCCAUGGAGGGGUGAUCUUGAGCUAGUUCCUGGGUCCCUCCGCAUCCUGAGCUUUGUGCCUUGUUUUCCUUUUUUUGUGAAAAGGGGCCCAAUAACAGUGUCUGUCUGGUGGGGCUGUGGCGAUGAUGAUUCGCUCACAUUUAGUUGAUCCCUUGGAAGCGUACUUAGCACCUACUGAGCGCUCAGGUGGAUUUGGCCUGGAGGCAGCGCACCUUUCUGGCAGGUGGCCUGCCCUAGGUGAUGAGGUGGAGGUGUGCUGAAAACUUCAGGGGCAUGGGAGAGAAGAGAGAUAUUUAAAGAAGACUGAAGUAGAAGAGAAACUGAUCAAAAGGAGAGGAGGAGAGAGAAUGAGAAAAUCAGCCACUACCUAGGGAAGAGAUGUCAGAAAGAGAAAAAGGCCAAAACAAAACAACCAAGCAUUCAAAAGGCGCAUGGAUCUGUUGGCCGCCUUCAAGGACCCUGUGAGCCCCAUGGGCCUGCCCUGCCUGACCAGGAGUUUGACAGAAAAGGUUUGGUGCUUCAUGAACUGCUGUGAGCCCUUGGCCUGGCCCCAUUGCUUUUGGUUUUGAUGCUGGGGAGUGGGUGGGCACUUUGUCCUGUCUGGAAGUGUCUCCUGGGGUCAGACUUUGCCACAGUUGGCACUCCCCAGAAUGCUUGUGUUGGAAGGAGAGGGGGAAGCAGACAGUUCCAGUAUCACCAGCUGCCAUCCUUUCCAGCUGAGUGACUUCCAUCUGGACCACUCAGAUUCUCAGCACCCAGAGGUGUGACUCAUAGCAUCAUCCUUGUGACUCUGCCGGUGGUCGGCUGCUCUGCUGUCCUCACAGGGAAAGCUGAGCUGGCAGGUCUGCAUGGUUCUCUCUGCUGGCUGUGCGCCUCUGGAUUUGACAGCUGGCUGUGCACAGGGAACACGCUGUGUUUUGCCCCCUGCUGACUGCAGUCCCUGUCUCUGCUGAUCACGUGGUAGAUACUCAGUAAAGAGUUACAGGAUGAAUUAAUAAAAGAAGUGUUGUUUAUUGUGAGGAUCAAAUAAAAUAGUGCAUGGGGAAGCACUUUGAAAAAAGAGAAAAUGCUGUACUGAUAUGAGACUAUAUUACUCUAUUCUGGUAGAGUUUAUAGUCAGAAGUUCAGAUUAGGCAAAAUAAAUAGCUCAGGCCAUUCAUUCCGUUGCUCCACUUUGCAGCCUAGAACCAAAACUAACUCAGGUUUUGCCCCGGAUUCUUGGUGGGUCCCUGGAUAUCUCCACAGUGAUAUGGAAGUUUGUGAUUAAAGUGACACAGUGGUUAAGCACGUGCACUAUCACCUUAUCUGUAUGAAAGGCUGCACACCAGCAGCCUCUGUGUCCAGUCUGGUGGGUUAGCCCAGGCAUGGCCUUUCUCUCCACCCACCCUGCUUCCUUUCUGAUAGAACACUUUUCUUCCCAGGUAGCAGGACCCUCUCCUGGUCUUUUUUUGUGUGUGUGUGAGUUGUGAAAUUCCAUGCAAGUAGCUCUUUUGAUGCCCUGGACGAUUUCCAGGAGCUAGGGAAACAGGGCUUGGUGCCAGAGGCCUGUGCAUGCAUUCCUCCUUGUCACCCCCAGUGGAUCUCCCCACAGGCGCUGCCAGAAAACAACUGGUAGGAGUCCCUGGGGGGAGCACCUGCAUAGUGGGUCUCCUGGGAGCCUUGACAUUGAUUUAGUGCUCAUUGCUACCUCCCACUUGUUCAGAGCAGCAGCACAGCUCUCAGUAACAAUGGUUAAAGAAAUUGAUUGCUUCCCUUCCCUACCCCCUUCCUUGGCACUUCAGAGUGGAAAGAUCCUAAUGGGUUCUGAGCCCAUUGGGGUGAUUGUGCAGAAAAGGAAAGGGCCACCUAGCUUGUGAGAGAUGAGCUCAGAGGUGCCAGGCACAUGGAGUUCUGUGUUUUGAACCAGGCUGUACUUAGGUCCUGGGACUAUACAGACCUCUAUGUUUCCUUAGCAAAAAGAAGUUGAUCCUAUGCCCACAGAGGAAGCUGGGAGGAGAAACUGCCCGUCUACAUGCCUGUGUGUGUGUGCAUGCGUGUGUGUGUGUGCACAUGUGUGCAGGCCCCUCCUCUCUUCUCCCUACCCCCAGGCUUCCUCUGUUGAAUCCAGGAUCUCCCCUACAAUUUUCUGCAUGUUGGUGGCCCCGGGUCAUGGCAAUUGUAGAAACAGUCUUGACUUCAUUUUCCCCUCUUGAUCCACUUCACAUUUUAGUUUUCCCAGGAGAGGAAUCUGAUUGACAGGCCUCAUCCCCAGGGUCAUGGGUCACCCACCCAACCUGACCUGAAUAGGCUGCCCAGGCAGCAUGUGUCCACCCCACUGGUGAAGUCAGAGAGCCCUGCAGAAGAUGUGGCACUGUGGGGAAUGCAGGACACAUGGCACUUAAGACCCCUCUAGCCUCUAGCACUGAGAAUCCGGGGGGGCUUAGGGUUAGCAGAACUAUUCAGCAGAACUGUAAACUUGACACCGUUCGCACAGACCCAAGUUCCCACUAAACCAGCUGAUAAGUUUCAGUCAUGAUCACCGUAAUCUCUUUGUCCGAAAUGGGCUCAGGAAUGAGACUGAAUCCAUAUUUGGACCACCAAGAUAUGGAGACAAAUAUGCCUGAGUCUUUCAGGAAAAAUGUUAAGAGUAAGUCCUGGUUAGGGGGUGGGGGGUGUAGCUCAUGGUAGAGCACCUGCUUAGCAUGAUCAAGGUCCUGGGUUCAAACCUCAGCACCACCAGAAGAUAACAAAACAAAACAAACAAAAAAACACUAAGCCCUAGAAAGCUCAUUUCCAAUUUGACAUGAGCAAUAAAAUGUUUGUGGCAUAGUUUCUCCAAGUGAUAUCUUAUGUGCCUGGAGGAAGUCAAGUUGAAGACAGGUUGCUGUGGUUUGGUGGUUUAAUCGUGUCCCCCAAGGAUCCCUAUAUUAUAGGUUUAGCCAUGAGGUAGAAGUACUGAGAGGUACUAUGGACUUCAAGAGGUAGGGCUUUGUGCAAAGUCCUCAGGUCAUUGGGGGUGUGUCCUUGAACUGGGUUCUGAGCUUCUGUGUGUGCUCUGGUUGGAGAUGUGACUGCUCCUAUGUAGGCCCUGACAUGAUGCUUUGCCAUCUGCCAUCUUCCCCAGAGACUAAGCCAGUGGAGCUGCCUGUGGAGCUAAAUGAACCUUUUCACUUUGUAAGCAGCCCGUGUCAGGAUUCUGUUGUAAUAGCACAAAGCUGACUGAUACCAAAGUAGAUCCAGAAACCUGGCCACACCACACCUGAGCCUCCCUCCAGACUCCCUGUCAUAUAAGUCAAUGAAAGACCUUGUUUUAAACUAUUUUGGGUCGUGGUCCUGCUACCUGCUGCCACUCAUUUAUUUUCCUGAAGACGCCCUUCUUUCCCUCAGGUCACUCCCAAGUUCAAAACCCUUAAAACUGCAGUGGCUCCCCAUUGCCUAGCCAAGAGAAUCUGACUUUCCUGAGGUCGGCAGUUCAGAUUCUUCUUAAAGUGGCCCCAGUGUGUUUCUCACUUGUUUUCUUCUAAUACUUUUUACAAACCCUGUAUUAACAGGCCUGACUCAGCCCAAAAGCACUGGUUAAAUUCUGUGUUGUAUAUUCCUGAAAACAUAUCUCCAUCUUGCUGGGGUGCUGAAGAUUUCCUUAUCAGCCAUGAUGGGGUCUCCCCAGCCCCCCAGGGCACACAGAAGUCCCGAGACCUAGUGCAGGGCCCAGCGUGAUGGAACCUGCUUCUUAUUGUCCUCUCUACUCCUACAAGGAUGCCCACUGCCUUGGGUGGCAGAUGUAUAGGGCCGUGGCUCCUGAGCGUCCUCACCAUAGGGUCCAGCCUUCCUAGCUGGAGGGGGUUUCCUAAGCUGCCGUGAGAACUUACCACAGACCUGGUAGCCAGAAGUGGAGGAAAUCGGUCCCUCUGUAAGAGGCCAGAAGUUUGAUAUGAAGGUGUAGGCAGGGUGGGUUCCUUUGGGUUCUUAGAGAGAACCCGUCCAUGCCUCCUUCGAGUUUCUGAGCUAAUGGCAAUCCUGGGCACUCCUUGGAUUUCCUGCCCCUUGCUCCUUCAACUCUCUACAUCAGGGACACCAGACCUCCCCCUGCUCUGCCUUCUUUAAGGUCCUGGCCUUGAGCAGUGGCUUCCUCUCUUGAGCACCAGCUGAUCGCACCAUCUGGAACGUGUUGUUUCUCCUUUCUUCCUCCUGCUCUCAGGAGAGGCUCUUGCCCCUUUUCCUGUGCCACUGGGUCCAGGUUUGCCUUUCAGACGACCCAUGACGUAGGCUCUUCUUUCCGGCAGCAGUUCCUGAGGCCAGAGAAUGACUUCGGCUUGGACUUGGCCUACCCAGGAGACCAAUACAAAUGGACGUUUGGGUGAAGUGUCCCGCCAGGCCUGUUAGCCCAGGUUCCACUCACGUCGGCCAGAGGAACGCUCCCAGAUACCCACCAGUGGACUUCACAUGUGGACCACCCGUUCCCUGGCAGGACCCUCACCACCCGAACCCUGUCUGAUGCACUUCCCUCUUUUCAAGGCAGAGUGCAGGGGUCGUCCCUGUGUGGAGGCUUUGCCAUUGUCCCCUGUCCAUCCUGUCUCCUCUGCUCAUGAACCCUUCCGUCUCCCAAUCAGGUAUUACUGUGUAUUUAGUAGCUGUUUGAUUAUUAAGUUCUAUUUCCACUUAGAUGGAAGGACCUUGGAGAAGAAGUACAAUCCUUCCUUCGUCCAACAAAAAUAUGGGGAGCACCACUUUGCCAGAGGUUGUCCUAAGUGUGGGAAUGUGGAGGUGACCAUGACAGUGCCCAUCCUCAGAGAGCCCAGAGUUUGUCAGGGGAUGGCCACUCUAUCUCACUGGGCAGUGCUGUGAUAUGGUGGAGGGUAUACUGAAGCCACUGAAAGGGCUCCUUCCAGGGUCAGACACAGGACCUGUGAACGUGAGCGAGACGUGUGAGCGGAAUGUCUGCAGCACCCUCACUACACGGCUCUGGAAGCCAGGGAGCAGGCAGGGCUCUGGAAACAGCUGGAAGCACUGGACAGUUCUCCGUGGUGGCGUUGGCAGUGCCAGAUGAUCUUGGGCAUCCAAGGCGCCAGGGGAGGGAAGCUGGAAGGAGGUAGCUGCAACUUGGGAGCAUGAAGCAGAAGACAGGGCAGGUCGGGCAGUGAGACAGGCAAAUGCUCACACUUCUGUUCCCAGCAUGGCAGGCGGAGGCGAGGCUAGUGGCGCAGUCCCCAACAACCGUCUCCUGCCUCUUUCUUGCAGUGUAAUCAUGUUGGCUUUCCUUUAAACACAUGUUUUAUCUAGAGAGAGCAGAUUUUUAAUGGCCACCCAAAGUGCGAGUGAUUAGGGUGAGAGGCAGAAAGACCUUGACCCUGAAGGCGCUUCCGGCAGUGGGACCAACACCAGUGGCAUCUUUGGGGACUCUCCUGUUUUGUGAAAGGAACUGUGCAGCAGUGUUUAACCACAUACCUAGUGCACGCAGGUUUUCUGUUACUGCAACCCAAGUAAAACCGUGACUCCGGGGGAAUGGUGGAAGUCUCCUGGGAAGGAGGAGAGAGAGAGGGGUACUAUUUUUAUAUGUCACAUUUCAGUUUUUUAUGGAACACUCAUUUGCAACUCAUUCUGAUUACCAAUCUUGCAUAAAAACCUCCCCAAAAUUAGAGGCAAAAGAAAAGACACCUCUUCCUUAUGACCAUCUGCUCCAUGGGUCAGGGAUUUGGACAGAGCUCAGUAGCAUGCUGAUCUGUGUCCCAUCAUGUCUGGGUAGACUUGAAGUCGAGGGCAACUCAGGGCUGAGGGAUCUUCACUGUGUGAAGGCUGAGGCCACGGUGGGCUGGACUGAAGGCUGAGCACAGAUACAUUGACCAGAGCAUCCUACGGCCUCUCCAUGUGGCCUGGGUGUCUUGCAGCAUGAAGGCUGGACUCUGAGAAGGAGUGGCCCAACUGAGCUGGUAGCAACCGCAUGCCUUUUAUGACCUAACUCAUCAGCUAGUCGUCCCUUGGUAUCCACAGGAAUUGAUUCCAGGAAACUCCUUUAGACACUAAAAUCUGCCAGUGCUCAAAUGACAUAGUAUUGACGUAAAAUAUAUAUAUAUAUCCUGUUUGUAUUGUAUCUAGCUUACUUAGAAUACCUAAGACAAUGUAAAUGCUACGUGAAUAGUUGUUAGACUGGAUUGUUUAGGGAAUGGAUCAUUUACAGUGUGAACAGUAUAGAUGCAAUUGUUUUCUGAAUAUUUUUGAUCUGUGUUUGGUUGAAUCUGCAGAUACAGAAUCUGCAGGUGCUAAGGGCCAACCAGUAAGUAACCCUCUUACAGGAGGAUUGACAAUGUCUGUUGCUAUGUUUUGGCCACAGGCCACUGGGUUUUCAGGACUUGGGAGGCAGACUAGAUUCACAGCCAAAAGGUAGAGGUGGGAGGCUGUGGAUGGGAUAGCCUGGGACAGUGUGGCAAAUGCCUGUCCUCAGUAAAGGCUUAGAGGAUGAAUCAUUCACUCGGGAAGGGGCUUCUACAGGUGAUCUCCACCCCUGCCUAGAGCAGCCACUCUUUGAUCUGAUCUGAAUAGAAGGAUCUCGGUUGACUGAGCCCCCAGCUACCCCCUGGCAUUGGACAAGGAGCCCUCAGAGUCCUGCUUCUCAAACUUUAAUGUGCACGAGAAUGACCUCAGGAGAUUCAUUCUAAGUACAAAGCCAUGGGCUUCCUCCCAGGGAUUCUUUCCAGUGGACCUGGCAGUGUAGGGGGACAGGAAUCUGUCUUUGUAAAACUAGUUUCAGCUGUAAUAUGGCUUCAGGGGCUGGGCCACGGCGAGACAUGUCAGUGUUGUUUGUAUAAUUAGUAAAUCAAGUUAGAGCAGGAUUUCAAACUAUGUUCUGUGGGGCCUGAGGGUGCCACACGGGACACCCUUCUGCAUCAGUGGAUAUAGUGGAUAGUCAUUGGGUGCUUUAGGCCAAGCCUGGGGCUGGACAUCAGGUGGAAGACAGUAUUCAAGGUGGACACUGUGUCUGCCUGAAGAGAGCUGGCGUCCUAGCAGCCGGGGAGGAGCUGCGGCGUCAGGAGCUCAGUAAGGUCAUUAUGAAAGGGAAAGCACAGGGUGCCAUGACAUGCAAUAAGAAGGAAAGGGGGGUGCACCCAUGCCACUGUGCGCCCCCCUCACUCCACAUCAGGGCACACUCUUCCUGGGAACCAAGUCACCGAGGUAGGUGAUCCCUGAGGGUCUCUGCACCAGAACCUUUCGUCCUAUGACGUUCUGUGACUUUACCUCUGAAUAAAGUCAAAACAGGCCGAAGGCAUGACUGAAUUUAAAUUUGAGAUUGCGUGGUUAGCACCCUCAUUCUUGAAAUUGCGAGGCUCUUUAGGGAUCAAAAACAUCCUGUGUCAUGGUUUGGAGACAACUGGAAACAAGGACCUUAGCCUGGGGGACUGAGUGAGAGGUCAGGAGAAGCCAGCAAGCCAUCUGAAGCAGGAAGCCACAGGCGGGGGCUGGCCCUGGAGGGUGGGCCCGGCUGUGGCUCAGGUGCUUUGGGCUUGUGCAUCUGAGUUGAUGAGUUUUCAUCUGCAAAAUGGGCAUCAUGGUGCCCAUACCUUGAAGUCGUCUUAAGGAAAACAAUUAUAUGGAAAAGAAUUGCUAGCUCAGUGCCAGAUACUUAGCAAGCACUCAAUAAAUGAUGCCCAUUACUAAUUUAAGUAUCUUUCCUAUGCGUGUUGUACUUGUCAAUAUACCUGCAAAUGUUUUAUAAAUGAGAAUGGAAAAUUCCAUAGUUUGGGAGCUGCCCAAUGUCAGGGCCCUGCCCGUCUGUGCCUGCCUCCCCGGGUCGGGAGCCCGGGGUGGUUUUCUCCAGUGUGUGCCGCCAGGCUGGCCUCUGAGCAUUGAGUUCACCCUCUCCUCAUUUUUUCUUGCUUUGUGCAAAAGGGAGAAAGUUAUUUUUUCCAGUGGACACCAAGCAUACAUAUCCAAAUUUGGACUGCUAGGCUUCCUUGUUUUUAAAGAAUGAAGAUGGUAGCCAUGUAUGUUGUUGAAAAAAUAAAGAGGAACCCGAAAU
rnacentral:lncRNA from 1 species